CCUUCAUUGUCGCGUUUAUCUGAUGCCAUUGAGUGUGCCACGGUGGUUGACUGGUUUCAGCUGAAGGACUGCAUUUAUGAAUAUCUGUACCAUUGCUUUUGUACCCCUUGUUGACUAAAUUUCUAUGCUUGAAGACAAAAGAGAAAUCUAACUACAGUAGGAGGGAAGGUUGUUGGAUUCGGUUGGUGGUUCUACAGUGAAAAUAUUAACUUUUCUUGGUGGGGAAUUAACUGCGUUUUGUUCACUAUAGCUGAAUAGUGUCUAAGAAUUUGUAAGGGCCAGGCCAUUUACAUGGAGUUUUCUCCUGGACUUGAGAUGCUUACUUGGAGUUUUCAGCUGGAGCUUUCACCUGGAGUUACUGCCCAUUCUCUAUUCUCUUUCGGUUGGACUUGGAUCCAUUCAUUUGGAGGUUUCACUUGGCUACAAAGGCCUUGCUCAGUUGCCUAGUUUCUUUCGGUUUGCCUGCUGGCUGAAGGUUGAGAUCAUGCCACGACAAGGCUUCAGUUUGAGUGAUGAGAGAGAGUCCAUGUCCAUCGGUAACUGCAGCUAUUGUGGAGAUGGCUGAAGAUCAAGGUUGAAGUUCUUGUGUUCUGAAGCAGUUCGAUUUAGACUACGAACGUAAACGUAGCAUCAAUAAGUGCAGGGAAAUGGGACACCUCCUAGAGAGAGAAGCAGACUUCUUACUGGCCGGUUUUUUUGGUGCCAAACGACUCUAAUGAUUUGCCUUUCUAAUCGCCCAUUGAGAGAGAGAGAGAGAGAGAGAGGUGCAAUUACGGCCUUCCAUUCUAAUCAAAUGUACAUGUUUUGGAAUCCUAUACUGACUUGUCAUUAUUUACACUUUUGGGUUUCUACUUCAUUUA